GAAACCCGUUUUGGACUCGAAAAAUUGUCAUUAAAUCGAUAAGAGUGUAACGAUCUCUUUGAAAGAUUCACAUGAGUUUUAGGUGAUAUUUUAAGGAAAGUUGAGGUGAAGUAAAAAGGAACUGGGACGAAAAUAAACUGAACAAAACUCGAGGUGAAGCAAUGAAAUGUGCCUUUUUCUGCAACUGGUUUUUGCUGCCGUCGUUACAAGUUGCUGUGUCACUUUUCCACGCUCGAAGACAUAUGAAAUCUGAACCUGACUAGUAGCUCAAUGAUGUGGAUAUCAAGUAAAGUAACGGCGGAAAAAAUGGUAUUGUCUUCUCAAACCUCUACAAUUACAUCGCACACAUGGUUGGACAUUAAUAAAUGUUUCAGGUUAUCAGCAGAUCUUAUCACACAACUUAGAAAUGGAUUGAGAAACAGCAAGAAAUAUGUGAGUCGUGACAGUUACCAGGAACACGAAGGAAGGGAGAGAGAGAGAGUGAGAGUGAUAAAGGGAGAGGGGACGUGUGAGAAAUGGAAAAUGAUGUUUAGUGCCGUGACCUUAUAUUUAAAGUUUUGGGAUUCAAAAACACAGUUGCUUUCGGUGACACCGCGAGUAUAAUUUUAUGAGAAAUAUUUUAUCUUACUACUAGGUGAAUUACUUGAUGAUCUAUGUAUUAAUAUACCAUCAACAUUUACCUCACGAUUGAAUGCAACGCCUAAUCCAAGGGAU